rnacentral:tRNA from 1 species
GCAUUGAUGAUUCAGUGGUAGAAUUCUCACCUUCGAUGUGGGAGACCUGGCUUCGACUCCCAUUGGGUGUA